UCUAUUACCGUCAGAAUGUAGAUAACAUACUCACAUGGAAGAUUAUCCACAACCGGUUACUGGGUUAAUAAAGGAUAAAUAGAUCGAAAAGAAAAGGACAUAAGGAUACCUAAUACUAGGUACAAAAUGAUGACCAAUCAAGGGGAGAAACAAUCAUUACCAACAAAGGGUAAAUGAGAGAUGACUCGCUGGGGAUACAUUGACAAAAU
rnacentral:lncRNA from 1 species